rnacentral:lncRNA from 1 species
CUGUAGAGUCUACACCUUCACCUUUCAUGCAUCCCUCAUCAUCAGGAGCACCUACAUUGCAUAAAAGAGGUACCAGACAAUAUUGUUCAUCAUCAUUUUCAAUUCUAGAUCUUCCAUCGUUCAGUUCAUAUAUACCCUCGUCCGUGUAUAUGCAUGACGAUAUGACCCAGUUUCAGUCCACAGAGGAGAUUGCAACAUAUUUUGAGUAUGCAGCGAUCGAGUAUGAGGGAUCGAGUGAGGGUCCGAUGGAGUAUCGUAUGUAGUCGCACGAGGGACCGACUCAGGGUUUGGGCGAGCAUCAUAUCGAGGAGCACGAUGGUUCGAUCGAGGGUCCAGACGAGCAUCGUAUGGAGGAUCGAGUGAGGCUCUACCUAUGGGUCGUCAAGUACAACCUACAAGAAAGAAGCGA